rnacentral:rRNA from 1 species
UACGUAGGGUGCAAGCGUUGUCCGGAUUUAUUGGGUUUAAAGGGUGCGUAGGCGGCCCGUUAAGUCAGCGGUGAAAUCCCGGGGCUCAACCCCGGAACUGCCGUUGAUACUGGCGGGCUUGAGUACAGACGAGGGCGGCGGAAUGGAUGGUGUAGCGGUGAAAUGCAUAGAUACCAUCCAGAACCCCGAUUGCGAAGGCAGCUGCAUAGACUGUAACUGACGCUGAGGCACGAAAGCGUGGGGAGCGAACAGG